CCUACGGGGGGCAGCAGUGGGGAAUAUUGGACAAUGGGGGCAACCCUGAUCCAGCCAUGCCGCGUGUGUGAAAAAGGCCCUCGGGUUGUAAAGCACUUUCAGUGAGGAAGAACGCCUGGUGGUUAAUACCCAUCAGGAAAGACAUCACUCACAGAAGAAGCACCGGCUAACUCCGUGCCAGCAGCCGCGGUAAUACGGAGGGUGCGAGCGUUAAUCGGAAUUACUGGGCGUAAAGCGCGCGUAGGUGGCUUGAUAAGCCGGUUGUGAAAGCCCCGGGCUCAACCUGGGAACGGCAUCCGGAACUGUCAAGCUAGAGUGCAGGAGAGGAAGGUAGAAUUCCCGGUGUAGCGGUGAAAUGCGUAGAGAUCGGGAGGAAUACCAGUGGCGAAGGCGGCCUUCUGGACUGACACUGACACUGAGGUGCGAAAGCGUGGGUAGCAAACAGGAUUAGAUACCCCUGUAGUC
rnacentral:rRNA from 1 species